GACCUAUAAUUCGACCUUCUUGGCUGAAGUAUGUUUCGACUUUACCUAUGUUUCGUCCUUCUUGACCGAAGUAUGUUCCGGGUAUGUUUGUGCUGGACUUAAAACUGCCUUUCGACCGUGGAAUUUCAGUCGCAAAACUGUACUUUCUCGACUUUCAAAGUCGAAACAUAUCUCGAGCACUUCCACCCGGCUUCAUGGGCGUGUCGUCAUCUAACCCAAAUACUCUGGGCGGACACCAAGUACAUAGGGUGUGCACAGGAGAAGUGUGUGAACACUUGGAAGAAGAGGGGCAGGACACGCACUUGGACUAACUUUGUCUGCCACUACAACAUAGCCGGCAACUGGUGGGGAGAGACGCCAUUUGAGACGAUCCACACAUAUGUUCCACAAAGAAUGUGUCCAGAAGAAGGAACCAGGCUUGAUGAUGUUUAUGAAAAUUUGUGUGUAGAGAUAUAGGUUUUUCAUCGAAUAGCUUCUUGAGUUUGCUUCAAUUUGGAAUACGUUUUAAUUUCUUUUUUUUUCUGAAUGAAGUGUUUGAAGAGCAGCUUGAAAAUUAUAAUGAAGUUUCCUCUG